CCCUAUGGGGUGCAGCAGGCGCGAAAACUCUACAAUGCAGGCAACUGCGAUAGGGGAACAUCGAGUGAUCCUCAUAUUGGGGGUCUGUCCACCCGUCUAAAAAACGGGUGUUAGCAAGGGCCGGGCAAGACCGGUGCCAGCCGCCGCGGUAAUACCGGCGGCUCGAGUGGUGGCCGAUAUUAUUGAGUCUAAAGGGUCCGUAGCCGGCUUUGCAAGUCUCUCGGGAAAUCCAGCGGCUUAACCGUUGGUCGUCCGGGGGGUACUACAUUGCUUGGGACUGGGAGAGGUAGGAGGUACUCAGGGGGUAGGAGUGAAAUCCUGUAAUCCUUUGGGGACCACCGGUGGCGAAGGCGUCCUACCAGAACAGGUCCGACGGUGAGGGACGAAAGCUAGGGGCACGAACCGG
rnacentral:rRNA from 1 species